UUUGUACACACCGCCCGUCACACCAUGGAAGCUGGUCACGCCCGAAGUCGUUACCCUAACCGUUCGCGGAGGGGGACGCCGAAGGUAGGACUGGUGACUGGGGUGAAGUCGUAACAAGGUAGCCGUACCGGAAGGUGUGGCUGGAUCACCUCCUUUUUAGGGAGACCCGACUCAAUUCAAAAGUCAAAAUUCACUCAUUCAAAAGCAAGAGUUUUUGGAAGUUUGGAUUUGUAAUAAAACUUUGAAUUGGUUUUAUCCCGAGGUCGAUCAUUAGUCAAUAGUGCAAGCUUUCAAACUAUUUUUGGUUCGCCUCAAUUGUCUAAAUAUACACUUACUAGAAAAAUUAAUUUGUUACCUCUGAACUAUAGCAGUUAAUACGUAUAGCUUUAGUAAAUUAACAGUAUUAAUUAAGUAAAUAAAUUUUCAGCAUCUUGUGCUUAAAAGCAAGAAUGCUGGGAAAUUUCCAGCAAAAGAACCUUGAAAACUGCGUAGAAACGCGAAAAAUGUCAGGUAGUUAACUGUGAAUCGCAGUUAACACUCCGAACAAAAACAGCAAUGAUUGUUUGUAGUCAAGCAAUGAAAGGCGAAUGGUGGAUACCUAGGCACACAGAG
rnacentral:misc_RNA from 1 species